rnacentral:rRNA from 1 species
UACAGAGGUCCCAAGCGUUGUUCGGAUUCAUUGGGCGUAAAGGGUGCGUAGGCGGCGCGGUAAGUCGGGUGUGAAAUCUCGGGGCUUAACUCCGAAACUGCAUUCGAUACUGCCGUGCUUGAGGACUGGAGAGGAGACUGGAAUUUACGGUGUAGCGGUGAAAUGCGUAGAUAUCGUAAGGAAGACCAGUGGCGAAGGCGGGGUCUCUGGACAGUUCCUGACGCUGAGGCACGAAGGCCAGGGGGAGCAAACGGG